rnacentral:rRNA from 1 species
UACGUAGGGUGCAAGCGUUGUCCGGAAUUAUUGGGCGUAAAGAGCUCGUAGGCGGUCCGUCGCGUCGAAUGUGAAAACCCGGGGCUCAACCCCGGGCUUGCAUUCGAUACGGGCGGACUAGAGUUCGGUAGGGGAGACUGGAAUUCCUGGUGUAGCGGUGAAAUGCGCAGAUAUCAGGAGGAACACCGGUGGCGAAGGCGGGUCUCUGGGCCGAUACUGACGCUGAGGAGCGAAAGCGUGGGGAGCGAACAGG